CAGGUGCCAAAAAGGGUAGAAUUGUAAACUCCAUUCAAUUCCAUAAAUGGGUAAGGUUUAUUUUCCUUCAGUACACUGUGUGAAUGUUUUGACUGUUGUGUGUGUAUUUGUGUAACAUGACUAUAUUUUAAUUAAUGCAACCUGUAAAAUAUUGAGACAUGUUUGUUAUAUAGAACAUUUCCCUAGAAUGAUUUUGCUGUCAAUUUGGUAAUUUGUCAAAUGUUUCAGGGUGAAAUUGUGCACU